UGACUGCUUAGAUGUGUGAGGUUGCUGAUACUCCAGGUAAAGUUGUUAUUUGGAUAUCAGGUUAUUUGCACGGAGCAAGUCUAUACUAAGAUAUAGGCGA
rfam:Clostridium sp. CAG:417 genomic scaffold, scf8